AUUGAACGCUGGCGGCAGGCCUAACACAUGCAAGUCGAACGAGUGGCGGACGGGUGAGUAAUGUCUGGGAAACUGCCCGAGGGAGGGGGAUAACUACUGGAAACGGUAGCUAAUACCGCAUAACAUCGGAUGUGGCCAGAUGGGAUUAGCUAGUAGGUGGGGUUACGGCUCACCUAGGCGACGAUCCCUAGCCGGUCUGAGAGGAUGACCCGCCACACUGGAACGGAGACACGGUCCCGACUCCUACGGGAGGCAGCAGUGGGGAAUAUUGCGCAAUUGGGGCAACCCUGACGCAGCCAUGCCGCGUGAAUGAAGAAGGCCUUCGGGUUGUAAAGUUCUUUCGGUAGCGAGGCGUUAACUACAGAAGAAGCACCGGCUAACUCCGUGCCAGCAGCCGCGGUAAUAC
rnacentral:rRNA from 1 species